GGUUUUAUAUUCAAUUAAUGAUUUUAGAUUGCAAAUCUGAAGGUGUAUAAAUACUAAAACCU
rnacentral:tRNA from 1 species